UAGGCUGCUUAUAAAAAAAAAAUAAAAAAAUUAAAUAAAGUUUAGAAGGUUAUCAAGGAGAUGGGGACCAAUACAAUUCUCUCUUACUUGUCAUUUAUAUAUUUCUUUAUUUGAAACAGAAACACAAUCAUCAGAGUCUUUGGGGUCAUCGGUCGAUGGCUCUCAGGGUAUCAUAUGCUCUUUAUGUUGCGAAAAUCUUACAAAGAAAGAUGAAGCCUUCGUCAUUACUUGUGGACAUCUAUUUCAUUCCCAAUGCAUUCAAGUUUGGAGACUCCUAUAUAAGAAUUGUCCAAAGUGUCGCAAAUCUACUCCAAAGCUGAUGAAAGUCUUACCAAUUUUUACCCAAAAUCCAAACGAAGAGACGAUAUUGGACACAUCAGAAGAGAUGAUAAAAAUUUUGGAAACAGAAAUUAAA